rnacentral:rRNA from 1 species
UACGUAGGCAGCGAGCGUUUGUUCGGAGUUACUGGGCGUAAAGCGUGCGUAGGCGGUGUCUUAAGUUUGUUGUGAAAUCUCCCGGCUUAACCGGGAGGGUGCGGCGAAUACUGAGAUGCUGGAGUGCCGGAGAGGUAAGCGGAAUUCCUGGUGUAGCGGUGAAAUGCGUAGAUAUCAGGAGGAACACCGGUGGCGAAGGCGGGUCUCUGGGCAGUAACUGACGCUGAGGAGCGAAAGCGUGGGGAGCGAACAGG